UACGGAGGGGGCUAGCGUUAUUCGGAAUUAUUGGGCGUAAAGGGCGUGUAGGCGGCGUCGUAUGUCCCAUGUGAAAGCCCUCGGCUCAACCGGGGAACUGCAUGGGAAACUGCGAGGCUUGAGUCCGGGAGAGGAUAGUGGAAUUCCCAGUGUAGCGGUAGAAAUGCGUAGAUAGUUGGGAGGAACACCGGUGGCGAAGGCGGCAUCCUGGACCAUUACUGACACUGAAAAGCGAA
rnacentral:rRNA from 1 species